rnacentral:rRNA from 1 species
GACGAGCGCUGGCGGCGUGCCUAACACAUGCAAGUCGAGCGAAUGAAGUUCUUUCGGGAAUGGAUUUAGCGGCGGACGGGUGAGUAACACGUGGGCAACCUGCCUCAUAGAGGGGAAUAGCCUUCCGAAAGGGAGAUUAAUACCGCAUAAGAUUGUAGUACCGCAUGGUACAGCAAGUAAAGGAGCAAUCCGCUAUGAGAUGGGCCCGCGGCGCAUUAGCUAGUUGGUGAGGUAACGGCUCACCAAGGCGACGAUGCGUAGCCGACCUGAGAGGGGGAUCGGCCACAUUGGGACUGAGACACGGCCCAGACUCCUACGGGAGGCAGCAGUGGGGAAUAUUGCACAAUGGGGGAAACCCUGAUGCAGCAACGCCGCGUGAGUGAUGACGGCCUUCGGGUUGUAAAGCUCUGUCUUCAGGGACGAUAAUGACGGUACCAGAGGAGGAAGCCACGGCUAACUACGUGCCAGCAGCCGCGGUAACAC